UCCCUAUUGUUCUUGUGUUUGGCGUUGAA
rnacentral:piRNA from 1 species